CACCUGUCUAGGAGAUGGCUUCUGGUGGUUCUAAAAAAGAGAAGCCAAAAAUAAAAGCUAAGAGUGGGUUUGCAUUUUUUAUUGAUCCAGUAAGGAUAUGUGAAUAAACGCAUGUGGCAUUUAAAUAAGACUGAUAAUGCACAAAACUGUACCCCUGAAUCUGUUUCACUCAAGUCUACAGAAACUAAUGAGGGUAGCAACAAUAAUGAUGAUAAUAAUUUUUAAAAAUUUCCACAUGCCAGGCAUUUUUUUUUGUGCAUAACAAGAAAAUAACAGUAACAAUAGUAACAGCUAAUACAUUGAGCACUUGUUACCAUCAGGCUGUUUCCUGGUGCUUUACAUGGAAACGUGAUGCCUUUUUUUCUUCUUAGCAAUUCUCACCAGUGCUAUUAUUAUCUCCAUUUUACAGAUGAGUUAUAAAGGCCUUAAAUAAUUUUUAUCACAUCUAGUGAGUCUGGAUUUGAACCCACAUUUUCCAACUUCAGUAACCAUGCUUAGGAGGAAGGACCAACAUGACACUAGAUCUUAGGAUGGAUCGAAGGAGAGAAGAAAAAUGUUCACGCCAUACUCCAAAAUCUCCUUUUUCAAUUCUGAUUUGUCUAGCAAACAGCCUAAAUACCUCAACUUUUCUCUACCAUCAUCUUCUUACAUCUGAAAAUGCUAAGGCAAAAUGGCAAGGAAUUAAUAUUUACUGAAGUAUAUGAUAUUACUUAAUGCCAGGUUCCAUGCUCAAUAUUUUAUAUACACAACUCCAUUUAGCAGGUGGCUUUAGAGUGUUUAAUCCUCCAUUCAGUCCCCUCCACAGACUAGAGUAUCCCUUUACUAGCAGCUAUUUGUGCACAAAGUCAGAAAACAAACCCCAAAUCAUGCCAUACAUCAUAGUCAGAAAGGCAGGUUUCAGAGGCUGGGGUUGAUCAGAAAUGACAGGUGGAAACAGGAAAAGAUCUUGUCAAAAUCUUGAUGAACACUACAGAAAACAAGCUCUAACGGUGGGUGCCUAGAUGCUUGUGUAUUCAUGACAGACCUUGGCCUGAGUAGGUCAAAAUCCUGAUGGGUCUAGGAUGAAGGAGACAAAUUCUUUGAGCUUCUUAAGGCUAGGCCAAGCUUAGCUUUCCUCAUUUCCUAUGUGAUGAGUAUAAAAUUCACUCAAAGUCAUCUUUCCAACCAAUGACAAAUACAUGAGGGGAUUACUCCUUGUCUGCAAUCAGAUGCUGAAAAAUUAUAACAGCGAAUAUAUUGAAAAGAAAAUGAGGAAUGAACAUUAUCAUAAGGAUGAGACAGAGGAUAGUUAAGUGGCGGUUUCCAUUCAAUCUGUCUACUCUCACCUUUCUCGUAAGGGCAUCUCACAUAUUAAGAAGGGACAAGAAAGCAACCAAUUAAACAUCUGUCACCACUUUUCCCUUAGUGUUUAAUUUGUAACAACUUACCAUUUCCUUCUAAAUAGAGUUUACUAUUCAAGGGAAUGCUGGUUGCAUUGCACAUGACUUUGACUUGGCCCAGACUAGGAUUAAUCAACCAGUGCAUCAACACAGAAGCUCACGGGUUCAAUAAGAUGGAACAGAAACAUUGUCACAAGGGUUCAGUGAAGCUGCCUGUGUGAGCACUCACUGGCAGUAACAAGAUUAAUGAAUACAGCCACCUGGAUUGAUACAGUUCCACCUUCCAACAUUACCCUCAAGUCGAUUUUCAAACACUGCUAACCAAGGAGCCAAAUAUCAAAAAAUGAAACAUAUAUCUAAUGUCUAUAUAGCAACAGACCUUGUCUAUGAGAGAAGGUGGGAAAUUCUUCAUGUUUUACUUCAAUCCUAAUUUUUCAGAUCUUAAUUAUAAGGGGUGGCUACCCUAACUGUCUUUGUGAUGAAAACCUAUUUUGACCAUUAUCUCUGACCCUCCUUAAGGAGCCCCCAAAUUUUCACAUCUCUCCUCCUUUUGCUCACAGCACUCCAUACUCAGUAUUUAUAACCCAAGAGGUAUUAAACCAAGUGGCCAUUUUCCUUCAAAGUUAUCCAGUUACUCAAAGAAUGCAUCUAGCUCUCUCAUCUCCCACCACACCCCCUCCUACAUCCUUGUCUCCAGACUCACAUAGCUGUUCAUCUUCCCCUUCAUCCAUUGAGACUCUGUGCCUUUGCUCAUUGUAUUAGCCUACUCAGGCCACCAGAACAAAAUGCCAUAGGCUGGGUGGCUUAAAUAUCAGAAUUUUAUUUUCUCACAAUUCUAUAGGCAAAAAGCAUAAAAAAUUCAGAUUCUGGUAAGAGCUCUCUUCCCAGUUUGCAGAUGACUGCCUUCUUGCUGUGCCCUCAAAUGAAAUUUUUUCUAAGAGCACACAGAGAAAAAGAGACAUCUGCUGUCUCUUUCUCUUCUUUUCCUAUUUAUUUUUUUAAUUUUUUAUUAUAGUUGAUUUACAAUGUUCUGUCAAUUUAUGCUGUACAGCAAAGUGACUGAGUCAUACAAAUACAUAUAUUCUUUUUCUCACAUUAUCAUGUUCCAUCACAAGUGACUAGAUAUAGCUCCCUGUGCUAUACAGCAGAAUCUCAUUGCUUAUCCACUCCAAAUCCAAUCGUUUGAAUCUACUAAACCCAAACUCCCAGUCUAUCCCACUUCCUCUCCCCCCCGCCCCUUGGAGGCCACCCAGCAACCAUAAGUCUGUUCUCCAGGUCCAUGAGUUUGUUUCUUUUCUGUAGAUAGGUUCAUUUGUGCCAUAUAAUAGCUUGCAGAUAUAAGUGAUAUCAUAUGGCAUUUGUCUUUCUCUUUCUGACUUACUUACUUAGAAUGAGAGUCUCUAGUUCCAUGUUGCUACAAAUGGCAUUGUUUUGUUCUUUUUAUGGCUGAGUAGUAUUCCACCAACUAUAUGUACCACAUCUGCUUAAUCUAUUCUUCUGUCAACAGACAUUUAGGUUAUUUCCAUGUCUUGGAUGUUGUGAAUAGGGCUUCACUGAAUACAGCGGGGUGGGGGGGGGUGAGUUUAUCUUUUUCAGUGAAAGUUUUGUCUCUUUCUCCUCUUACAAAGAUACCUGUCCUAUAAGAGUCCCACAUUAUGGUCUCAGUUGACUUUAAUUACCUCUUUAGGAGUUCCCGUUGUAGCACAGCAUAAAGAAAUCCAACUAGUAUCCAUGAGAAUGUGGGUUUGAUUCCUGACCUUUUUAGUGGGUUAAGGAUCCAGCAUUGCCAUGAGCUGUUCUGUAGGUCACAGACACAGCUGGGAUCCGCAUUGUACUAUGGCUGUGGUGUAGGCCAGCAGCUGCAGCUCCAGUUCAACCCCUAGCCUGGGCACUUCCAU
rnacentral:lncRNA from 1 species